GCUUACGGCCAUACCACCCUGAGCACGCCCGAUCUCGUCUGAUCUCGGAAGCUAAGCAGGGUCGGGCCUGGUUAGUACUUGGAUGGGAGCCCGCCUGGGAAUACCAGGUGCUGUAAGCU
rnacentral:rRNA from 1 species